rnacentral:rRNA from 1 species
UACGUAGGGUGCGAGCGUUAAUCGGAAUUACUGGGCGUAAAGCGUGCGUAGGCGGUUCGCUGUGUCCGAUGUGAAAGCCCCGGGCUUAACCCUGGGAAUGGCAUUGGAAACUGGCGGGCUUGAGUGCGGCAGAGGGGGGUGGAAUUCCGCGUGUAGCAGUGAAAUGCGUAGAUAUGCGGAGGAACACCGAUGGCGAAGGCAAUCCCCUGGGCCUGCACUGACGCUCAUGCACGAAAGCGUGGGGAGCAAACAGG